rnacentral:sRNA from 1 species
UAAAGUAAAGGAAACCGAGAUCUGCGCAGGGGUUCCCUUUGCCGAUUCCUCUCACCUUACCUUUCAAACCUAAACUCGAGCCUGCUGCUCACCGGCCUAGCAUUGCUCUCGCCAUGGCUCUCAGCGAUGCUGACGUGCAAAAGCAGAUAAAGCAUAUGAUGGCUUUCAUUGAACAAGAAGCCAAUGAGAAAGCAGAAGAAAUAGAUGCAAAGGCAGAAGAAGAGUUCAACAUAGAGAAAGGUCGGCUUGUGCAAACCCAAAGACUAAAGAUUAUGGAAUAUUAUGAGAAGAAAGAGAAACAGAUUGAGCAGCAGAAGAAAAUUCAGAUGUCCAAUUUGAUGAAUCAAGCGAGACUCAAAGUCCUCAGAGCGAGAGAUGACCUUAUCACAGUGAGUAAUUAGCCCCUAUUAGUUACAAAAUUAUUUGUUUAUUCGUUUGCCUGUUGUAGAUUACUAGUUAACAUUAAUUAAGGAGUUGAUUGAAUAAUUUUUAGAGAGAAAACAUUCAAAUUAUUGUAAUAAAUACAAAAGUGAAUAAGAGCCAAGGCCUGUAUUGAAGGACCUUCUGAUCUAAAGAGCAUGUAA